CCCAUCCACAUGGGCGAGUUUAAUCCGCAGUUUUAUAGUAGGAAGUUCCAUGGCACUUUGAACUUGUAUUUGAGCUCAGUUUUCUACUGAUUAAACAUGUGAGCUUGGAAAAUGACUGCAUUCUUGAAUGUAAUGGGCUUCUUAAGAAACUGGAGUUGCAAGCCCAUCAUCUCUCUGUGAGAUGCUUCUCCAGAGCGAACCCAGCCUUCGUGACUCCAGAUCAGCUGAAAGUAGAACAAAGACAAACAACCUCUCUUGCAUCCCAGCAUCACUACAGAAAGUUU
rnacentral:lncRNA from 13 species